CCGGGCUGACCGAGCUGUUCGCCUAGCACGUUGCGCCAUCGGCCAUAUAAGAAACUGUGCAGGAUGUCGGAGGUGAUGACCUCUGCCAGCGCCAACCCCGGAGCCUUCAGCCCUGUUUUGAGCACCAGGGCCUCAGCUGGGAGCACAGAGCCCAUCAUGGGCGGCGGAGGGCUCGCCGCGGGCGCCGAAGGACGGCUAGGUGGACUCCGGAGAGUGGAUUCUGUAUAGUCUUUCCAAGGUACCUGGGAGCCAGCUCCACACCUCUUCAGAAACAGUUGCUAAGUCGGGAAGAUCACGGCUUCCUGUGUGCACCGAAGUCUCCUGGAUAGCCUUAAGACUGCCCCCACACCUUCAGCUCCAGAAACGUUGGAGCGGCUUUGGGCACACCUCACUCAACAGCCUAAGUCCUCAGAGCCCCCUCCCCUACUCCCGCUGCAAUUUCAGGUGACGCAAAGGAAAGUUCCGCAGCCCUGGAGGCUGGUUUGUGUGAGUUCCCGUGUUAGGGCUCCACUGUACAGUGAAGACUCUUCAGGCCUUCGAAGCCCUGUGACUUGGGCGUGGAUAGCGCUGGCAGCUCGGGACUGAGAUUUGACCCACGAAUCAGAUUCUAAUGCCGCUAGGAAAAGAACCCUUUCCAUCACCAGCUCCUCAGAGCUAAGCUUGCCUCGCUCUUG
rnacentral:lncRNA from 1 species